UUUUUUAUAUCAGAACUUUUGACUGGGUAGACCGAUUUCGACAAAUUUUGUUUUAAUCGAAAGGUGGUGUGUGCCGAUUGGUCCCAUUUAAAUUUAUUUGAGAUCUAACAACUACUUUUCGAAUUAUAUCUAAUAAUGUGUUUUUACUUGACGCUUUUUUCGUCGACCUACGUUGUAUUAUACCACAUAACUUUCUACUGGGUGUACCGAUUUUGAUAAUUCUUUUUUUGUUGGAAAGAGGAUAUCCCUAGUUUAGUACCAUGAUAAGGAAACCAGGAUCUGAUGAUGGGAUCCCAGAGAAAUCGAGGGAAACUCUUGAAAAUCCGCAACAACUUUUUACUGGGUGUAUCGAUUUUGAUAAUUUUUACUUUAAUCGA
rnacentral:misc_RNA from 1 species